CUGACCAUCCGACAGCGAUAACGAAACCGUCAAACAGAAACAUGCAAAAUGAAAUGUUCUAUAUGCUUUCGUCACUGUUACUUUAAAAACUUGAACGUAUACUAGCUGCUGGAAUAUUGACUCGUAUCUCAUAUAAUCAAUGCCUUAAUACAUGUAUGAUUACAUAUAACGGCCCGGCGUAUGGAAGAUGGACAAGGUUCCCGAAUUGAUCUACUAAAUCAUCGAUGGCGUGUCACUGAACAGAAAUUCAACGACUAGAGCAUAGUUGAAAUUAACCAGACGAUGACCUUGUUCCGUCACAAAAAACAGUACCAUGUAAUAUGCCUUCCUAUGGCGGAUCCACGGUAAAUGGCAACACCCGUCCUAAUCAAUUUACCGGCUCAGCCGAUUAGUCCUUGGCUCGCCUUGGCUGUUCAGAGAACACAACCCGCAAGAUUAAUUUCACGCUCCCGCCGCGUCGAGUUUAACGACAAUAGUUAUUGCUACGACGGCUGGGCUUA